rnacentral:rRNA from 1 species
AUGCAAGUCGAACGGCAGCACGGACUUCGGUCUGGUGGCGAGUGGCGAACGGGUGAGUAACAUAUCGGAACGUAUCCAAUAAUGGGGGAUAACUAAUCGAAAGGUUGGCUAAUACCGCAUACGCCCUACGGGGGAAAGCUAGGGACCUUCGGGCCUGGCGUUAAUGGAGCGGCCGAUAUCUGAUUAGCUAGUUGGUGGGGUAAAGGCCCACCAAGGCGACGAUCAGUAGCUGGUCUGAGAGGACGACCAGUCACACUGGAACUGAGACACGGUCCAGACUCCUACGGGAGGCAGCAGCGGGGAAUUUUGGACAAUGGGCGCAAGCCUGAUCCAGCCAUUCCGCGUGAGUGAAGAAGGCCUUCGGGUUGUAAAGCUCUUUCGCAAGGGAAGAAAACUUAGUCUCUAACAUAGACUGAGGUUGACGGUACCUUGAUAAGAAGCACCGGCUAACUACGUGCCAGCAGCCGCGGUAAUACGUAGGGUGCGAGCGUUAAUCGGAAUUACUGGGCGUAAAGCGUGCGCAGGCGGUUUUGUAAGUCAGAUGUGAAAUCCCCGAGCCCAACUUGGGAACUGCGUUUGAAACUACAAGACUAGAAUAUGUCAGAGGGGGGUAGAAUUCCACGUGUAGCAGUGAAAUGCGUAGAGAUGUGGAGGAAUACCAAUGGCGAAGGCAGCCCCCUGGGAUAAUAUUGACGCUCAUGCACGAAAGCGUGGGGAGCAAACAGGAUUAGAUACCCU